AUAACAAUUCUGCAAAUUGUUGAUAGUAUUUCUGGCGCAAAGUGAGUGUGUUCAAAUCGGUGUUGACGUGUUUCUUGAAAGAAGUUUCCGAGGUCAAUCUCGUUAGUUUCAGGGUUUUCUCUCUAAUUUGUUUUCAGCGAUGUAGUUAAGGACUAAAUACAUAGCUUCUUCAUACUUGCCCUCUUUCUCUGUAGGAGAGGUGAGUUUAGUUAUUUCUGAUGUUGAGGUGGUGGCUUUCGUCAUUGCCUUUUAAGAAAAAAAGAGACGAUCGUAAUUUCAUCUCAAACUAAAUCUUAACAUUCUGUUUCUAGACAUUGACGACUGUGUUAAUCAUACAUGCAACAAUGGCGGAUCAUGCCUAGAUGGUGUCAACAAUUACUAUUGUAACUGCUUGGUGGGAUUUACUGGAAAUUAUUGUGAAUUAGAUAUUGACGACUGCGUUAACCAUACAUGUAGAAAUGGGGGAUCGUGUGAAGAUAGUGUCAACAGCUACUCUUGUAACUGCUUAGCGGGAUUUACUGGAAAUAACUGUGAAACAGACAUCGACGACUGUAUUAAUCACACAUGCAGUAAUGGUGGAUCGUGUGAAGAUAGUGUCAACAGCUACUCUUGUAACUGCUUAGUGGGAUUUACUGGAAAUAACUGUGAAACAGAUAUCGACGACUGUAUUAAUCACACAUGUAGUAAUGGUGGAUCGUGUGAGGAUGGUGUCAACAGUUACUCCUGUAACUGCCCACCAGGAUUUACUGGAAAAAAUUGUAAAACAGGUACACUCAAACAACUCCAGGCGGCAAUCUGUAUCUGUAGUUGUUUUUUUCGUUGAAACAUAUUGAUGUUUGGUGGAAGUUACAUAACUCACGUCACAAACAAAUGGUGCAAAAUUGGUCCCAGAUGGGCCAGAAUGUUCGAGAAUUGCUGACAGGUUUGAUUGAGUUGAGGAUCGUGAACGAGCUAUUAUCUUUGUCGCACUUAUAUCGUCCUUUCGAAUCGAUAAUCUUUUUACAUCAAAUCGUUUACUCUUUUAAUUUUUCUUGUUUUGGUCGCUGCUGCUGUAGUUGUUUGAUGACACCUAUGUAACACAAUGUAACACACGUCAAUAAUGUGUCCGGGGUUUGAUUUGGUUGAAGGGAAGUUUAAAAAGGCUAAGUUCAGAGAGGUGCUUAAAAAUAAAGUUCUACUCGUUCCUCUGAAAUUCGUACUUACAGGCUUUUUUAUCAACUCUUUACGUGUACUUAAGCUACUGCUCGCAUGUAA